rnacentral:rRNA from 1 species
GAUGAACGCUGGCGGCGUGCCUAAUACAUGCAAGUCGAGCGAAUGGAUUAAGAGCUUGCUCUUAUGAAGUUAGCGGCGGACGGGUGAGUAACACGUGGGUAACCUGCCCAUAAGACUAGGAUAACUCCGGGAAACCGGGGCUAAUACCGGAUAACAUUUUGAACCGCAUGGUUCGAAAUUGAAAGGCGGCUUCGGCUGUCACUUAUGGAUGGCCCCGCGUCGCAUUAGCUAGUUGGUGAGGUAACGGCUCACCAAGGCAACGAUGCGUAGCCGACCUGAGAGGGUGAUCGGCCACACUGGGACUGAGACACGGCCCAGACUCCUACGGGAGGCAGCAGUAGGGAAUCUUCCGCAAUGGACGAAAGUCUUACGGAGCAACGCCGCGUGAGUGAUGAAGGCUUUCGGGUCGUAAAACUCUGUUGUUAGGGAAGAACAAGUGCUAGUUGAAUAAGCUGGCACCUUGACGGUACCUAACCAGAAAGCCACGGCUAACUACGUGCCAGCCGCCGCGGUAA